GACGAACGCUGGCGGCGUGCCUAAUACAUGCAAGUCGAACGAGAGCGACCGGUGCUUGCACUGGUCAAUCUAGUGGCGAACGGGUGAGUAACACGUGGGUAACCUGCCCAUCAGAGGGGGAUAACAUUCGGAAACGGAUGCUAAAACCGCAUAGGUCUUCGAACCGCAUGGUUUGAAGAGGAAAAGAGGCGCAAGCUUCUGCUGAUGGAUGGACCCGCGGUGCAUUAGCUAGUUGGUGAGGUAACGGCUCACCAAGGCCGUGAUGCAUAGCCGACCUGAGAGGGUGAUCGGCCACAUUGGGACUGAGACACGGCCCAAACUCCUACGGGAGGCAGCAGUAGGGAAUCUUCCGCAAUGGACGCAAGUCUGACGGAGCAACGCCGCGUGAGUGAAGAAGGUUUUCGGAUCGUAAAACUCUGUUGUUAGAGAAGAACAAGUGCUAGAGUAACUGUUAGCGCCUUGACGGUAUCUAACCAGAAAGCCACGGCUAACUACGUGCCAGCAGCCGCGGUAAUACGUAGGUGGCAAGCGUUGUCCGGAUUUAUUGGGCGUAAAGCGAGCGCAGGCGGUUCCUUAAGUCUGAUGUGAAAGCCCCCGGCUCAACCGGGGAGGGUCAUUGGAAACUGGGGAACUUGAGUGCAGAAGAGGAGAGUGUAAUUCCAUGUGUAGCGGUGAAAUGCGUAGAUAUAUGGAGGAACACCAGUGGCGUAUGCGACUCUCUGGUCUGUAACUGACGCUGAGGUUCGAAAGCGUUGUGUAGCAAACAUGG
rnacentral:rRNA from 1 species